rnacentral:rRNA from 1 species
UACGGAGGAUGCAAGCGUUAUCCGGAAUAAUUGGGCGUAAAGCGUUCGUAGGCGGGGAUGUAAGUCUGCUGUUAAAGGCCCGAGCUCAACUGUGGAUUGGCAAUGGAGACUGGAAAGCUAGAGUGCGGUAGGGGUAGAGGGAAUUCCCGGUGUAGCGGUGAAAUGCGUAGAUAUGGGGAAGAACACCGGUGGCGAAGGCGCUCUACUGGGCCGCAACUGACGCUGAUGGACGAAAGCUAGGGGAGUGAAAGGG